rnacentral:rRNA from 1 species
GACGAACGCUGGCGGCGUGCCUAAUACAUGCAAGUUGAGCGAUGAAGCUUGGUGCUUGCCCCAAUUUGAAGAGCAGCGAACGGGUGAGUAACGCGUGGGGAAUCUGCCUUUGAGCGGGGGACAACAUUUGGAAACGAAUGCUAAUACCGCAUAACAACUUUAAACAUAAGUUUUAAGUUUGAAAGAUGCAAUUGCAUCACUCAAAGAUGAUCCCGCGUUGUAUUAGCUAGUUGGUGAGGUAAAGGCUCACCAAGGCGAUGAUACAUAGCCGACCUGAGAGGGUGGUCGGCCACAUUGGGACUGAGACACGGCCCAAACUCCUACGGGAGGCAGCAGUAGGGAAUCUUCGGCAAUGGACGAAAGUCUGACCGAGCAACGCCGCGGGAGUGAAGAAGGUUUUCGGAUCGGAAAACUCGGUUGGUAGAGAAGAACGUUGGUGAGAGUGGAAAGCUCAUCAAGUGACGGUAACUACCCAGAAAGGGACGGCUAACUACGUG